GACAGAGGUGCCGAGCGUUAGGCGGAAUCACUGGGCUUAAAGCGUGUGUAGGCGGGCGGGCAAGUACCUUGUGAAAUCCCACGGCUCAACCGUGGAACGGCUGGGUAUACUGCCUGUUUCUGAGCCAACUAGGGGGCGAGCGGAACAGACGGUGGAGCGGUGAAAUGCGUUGAGAUCGGAAGGAACGCCCGUGGCGAAAGCGGGCUCCUGGACCCCACCUGACGCU
rnacentral:rRNA from 1 species